UUGGUCGUAACGACUCUGAAUCCAUUCAACAUCAGUCAACUUGGGGUUUGAGGGUGCCGUUUUUUCUUUUAUUUUUCUCUACACAUUUUCUUCUUCUUCUUUUUUUAGAUUUUUUUUUUAUCUUUUUUCAUUUUUCACCCCUUUUGAUAUUACAUUUGUAAAAACCCCAAUUUGACUAUUUCUGGGUUCUCAAUAUGCGGCUGAAUGAUCUUCUUUUCAUGCUCAAGAAGAUGGGUAAUCUCAUCAGGAAUCUCGUCAACAUCAUCUUCCCCUGCUUUGAAUACAGGGAACUCAAAAUUGAGAGAUGGCGUUGGAUCAUUGUAAGAUCCCAAUUUUAUCCCUAAGAUCCCUCAUGGCAUCAUAUCAUAACAUUUCAUUGCCUCAAGGAUCAU
rnacentral:lncRNA from 1 species